rnacentral:tRNA from 18 species
GCUCAGCUGCUAGCAUGCCCGACUUAGGAACCGAAGGUCGGGGGUUCGAGUCCAACAUUGGC